UGGGGAAUAUUGGGCAAUGGGCGCAAGCCUGACGCAGCGACGCCGCGUGUGGGAUGAAGGUCUUCAGAUUGUAAACCACUGUCGCGAGGGACGAAGCUCUGACGGUACCUCGAAAGGAAGCACCGGCUAACUCUGUGCCAGCAGCCGCGGUAAUACAGAGGGUGCGAGCGUUGUCCGGAAUCACUGGGCGUAAAGGGCGCGUAGGCGGCCCGGUAAGUAGGGGGUGAAAUCUCAUGGCUCAACUGUGAGGCUGCCUUCUAGACUGCCAGGCUUGAGCACAGUAGAGGCGAGUGGAAUUCCCGGUGUAGCGGUGGAAUGCGUAGAGAUCGGGAAGAACAUCGGUGGCGAAGGCGGCUCGCUGGGCUGUUGCUGACGCUGAGGCGCGAAAGCGUGGGGAGCAAACAGGAUUAGAUACCCUGGUAGUCCCUGAGCGGGCUGGCAAGGCGCAU
rnacentral:rRNA from 1 species